rnacentral:rRNA from 1 species
CCGCGUGAGGGACGAAGGCCUUCGGGUUGUAAACCUCUUUUGUAGGGAAGAAGCGAAAGUGACGGUACCUGCGAAAAAAGCACCGGCUAACUACGUGCCAGCAGCCGCGGUAAUACGUAGGGUGCAAGCGUUGUCCGGAAUUAUUGGGCGUAAAGAGCUCGUACGCGGUUUGUCGCGUCUGCUGUGAAAACUGGAGGCUCAACCUCCAGCCUGCAGUGGGUACCGGCAGACUGCAGUGCGGACUGGGAGAUUGGAAUUCCUGGUGUAGCGAUGGAAUGCCCAGAGUCAAGAGGAACACCGAUAGCUAAGGCAGAUCUCUGGGCCGUAACUGACUCUCAUGAACGAAAGCAUGGGGAGCGAACAGGAUUAGAUACCCUGGUAGUCCAUGCCAUACACGUUGGGAACUAGAUGUAGGGGCCAUUCCACGGUUUCUGUGUCGCAUCUUAUUCAUUAACUUCCCCGCCUGGGGAGUACGGCCGCCAGGCUAGUACUCAAAGGAAUUGACGGGUGCCCGCACUUGCGGCGGACCAUGCGGAUUAAUUCAAUGCAACGCUUAGAACCUUACCAAGGCUUGACAUAUACCGGACACGGCUAUAUAUAGUCGCCCCGCAAGGUCGGU